UACGGGGGGGGUAAGCGUUGUUCGGAAUUACUGGGCGUAAAGGGCUCGUAGGCGGCCAACUAAGUCAGACGUGAAAUCCCUAGGCUCAACCUAGGAACUGCGUCUGAUACUGGAUGGCUUGAAUCCGGGAGAGGGAUGCAGAAUUCCAGGUGUAGCGGUGAAAUGCGUAGAUAUCUGGAGGAACACCGGUGGCGAAGGCGGGUCUCUGGGCCAUUACUGACGCUGAGGAGCGAAAGCGUGGGGAGCGAACAGG
rnacentral:rRNA from 1 species